CUCUCUCUGUUUUUUUUUGUUUCUGUUUUCUAUUUAUUCUGUUUUGUUUUGAUUUAGUAAAGUACUAAACCAUUUUAUAAAAUGCUGAAAAUAUUUAUGGGCACCUCUGAAAUUAAUUCCAACAGCCCAAAAAUACUUCCAAGAUUAUUUGGACAUUUAAAAAUAUUUAUAGCAUUUAAAUGUCCAAAUGCAAAUACUUUAAAAGUUAACUCAAAGAUCCAAAGUGUCCUAGAAAAGUGAGCACCAUUUUUGGCAGAGGUUAUGGACCAAGGCAAAGAUGAUGAACAUUUUAGAAGGCAUUUCAGGAUCAUUGAAAGAUUUUUAUUUUGAUCCUAAUUGCAUUUCAUUUAGUGCUAGGGCUUGUCAUCCCCAUUUCAAAUUUAAUUGAAAAAUAAACAUGAUGCAUGGAUGCUUGUGCAACUAUUUGCAAACAAAUUCUAGGGCUGUGACAACUCACCCCCACUAAACAAGAAUCUCGGCCCGAGAUUCAAGACAUGGGGUAAGAAGGAAGGGGGGUUCACAAGACUAUCGCAGUCUUCUCGAUCCAACUGCCCUUCCCGAGGAUGUUGAUUCAUUGCAUCAUGUCGAUCUUGACAUCUUUGCUUCGAGAGCUUCAUCCAACACGGCGACAAGAGAGCAAGACAACCUCACAGGGGAGGAUACAAGAUUAACUCCACGGAAUGAGACGUAAAAACACCUCUUGAGUUGAGACACAAGGCACAUAUCAGAAUCAAUGAGAAGAAGCAGAUGACAAGGUUCAAUUUGGUACGCAACAAACCCACGUUGGAGUAGGAUGAUGCAUGGUUUCAAAGUAGCGAGGAGAUAAUUGCCAUGAUACCAUAACGAGACAUCUUAAGGAAGGUGACUCGCAGAAUUAUUCCCUUAAGUGGCAAAAGGAAUUACUUUUGAUUCGGAGAUCAUAGAAACUCUUUACACCAGCCUAAGGCAAUCACAAAUGAUCAGUGGAAGGAGUUCGAAAGAAUGACAUACUCGGAGUAGGAUGGAUGAUGUGGACUACCUUGUUGAAGACAACGCAAUGGAUGAUUUUUGCUUAUCAUCGAAAAUGGAUGGGACCUAUGGUAAGUCCACUUUUGAAGAUGACCAUGAACAGCAGCUAUUAAGGUGUAAGCUGGGAACAAAAUGCAAAUGUUGGGAAUGAUUCUGGUAACUGGGGAAAAGGUUCACCGGCAAAGGUGAUUCCACCAAUCGGAUGGCUAUCGAACAACUGAGAGGACGGAGGCACAUUCCAGUUAAUGACAUCGUCAGAACCUAGUGCCUGAGCGUGCUCUCAAGAACUUGAGCAUUUCCAUACUCAUCAAGGUCUUACCAACAUCCAUGUCAAGGAUCCUGGCAACACAACAUACCACCAUGAUGAAUGGUGAUGGAUAAUGCAGAUGCAAAGGAAGAUAACACUUUCUCAGAUUUCACCUUAGCGAAGCCAAGGAAACAAAAAUCUGGAUGAUCGACCGAGAGACAUUUAGCACUCUGCUCCUAAUGUUCUCCUUGAUGUACUGGUUACCACGGCCAUGCUUUAAGCAUCGGCAUAGCCACCAAGUAGUGGUCGGACUUCGGAAUACAAUGGAUCCAUAAGGAACAACUUCUGGAGUAAAUCCUACGAAAUCCUCAUGGAAAGGUGGCCAACUUUCUUCAAUCGAGAUACUACAAUAAUAGGUCUUCCGGCUGGAUGUGUUGGCCACGACAUCCACUUUACCGUUUAUCAAGGGACCAAUAUUAUGGUUCUUGGAAAAUGCUCCAACCAUCAUAUCUGCCUGAGAUUCAGAUCUGGUUGGUGACAGGAUAUUCCAGACUCAUCGAGUCUAGAAAGGAAAAUGAAGGUUUGCAACACAAUCGACGAGAUGACAAUGCGAGAUCCUCAGGGGAAUGAACUACGGUAGUAAGCUCCAAAACAUGAGCCGGUUCUGCUACAAACAUGUGAACACGUUGUCCUAGACAAGCAUGGUCAGCUGGUAGUCUUAAAAUGAAACACUACCGAGUUCAGGGGGAACCAUCAACGAGGAUAUCGAAGUCCUUGCGUAGGUCUAACCCUUAAGAAGAAACUUCUUCUCCUUGAACAAUCAAUCAGUGGCUUGGUGUGCUAGGGAUACGUAUAGAAUGUAGAUGAUCAGUCUAUCAGACCAUAGAAUACUUCGCACAUGCAUGACUGACUUGGGAUGAUUCCAGAGGAAGCAAAAACAAACUUUCUCGAAUUCACGGCGGCAACUUACAUCAGAUGCACAUGAAUUAGAGGAAGUCACAUCUUUCAACCGGACAUAUGCUUCAUGAUCGGGACAUGAGGGCAAUGCUUAUAAAGUUUCCAACACUAGCUGGAUGUUCAACACAAUCAUGGAGGAGACAAAAUGCCGCUGAUGGGCUCAACAGCAACUCAUCGAAAUUUCUAUAUCACUGGACUUCCACCACUAUGUGAACAAUGUGAUAGUAUUGGUCAGACCAAGGAUAUAAUGGUGUAUGCUCGAGGGACAACCGCAAGUAAGACAACAUUACGAACAUCGUUGGUUCUGAUUUGAUUUGACGAUAACCCACACUCAAAUCAAGGUUUGGACAAGAUAAUAGAUACAACAACUGAUCACGGGGACCAAUUGGUGAAGAUAUCAUCUUUCUUCAACACACACACACACACACAAGGAUAUCCCUUAGGGAUGAGCUAAGUCGGACAAGUUUUCAUCUUCCAACUCUCCAAGUUGUUGUUAAGCUUAACCAACUAGCUCAGGGGUAUCCAACACAGGUUCUUGGGGAAAAAUGGUUUAUUGGAAAACCAACUUGAUCACGAAAUCAACAUAACGGUCAGGCGACAACCUGGUAACACUUCCGAGAAGAUAUUCGGAAAAUCACGAACCACCGGUAUGUUACUAAGCUCGAGAACAACCUUGCUUUUCAGGGCAAGAUGAUAUGAUCGAUAGAGCAAGGGAUUGGCACAAUCCUAACCCAUUGAUCGAAGUGUGCACCAGAAAUAUGGACUGGGUAGCACGAUCAGUCUUAGAAUGAUAAUUCAAUAACCAACACGCUAAGAAUGAGGAUAUUGUCCAUUAACUACCAAGCAACAGAGUUGCUAGGAGUAUUGAUUUCACACACCACGAUUCACUUGUCGUCAUUCCGGUUGCAACAACACUGAAACCGAGAAAUGAACAAUGAUGGAGAGAGUAUCACUGCGUCAAGAAUUCAUGAGAGAGGUGCAGUUCUCACGACGCUCUUGACAUAAAGUGGGCAAUACUUCAGGGUAGAACAGAACAAAAGCUGGAUUGGCAUUUUGAUCUGCGGAAUACAACCACUUCGACCCGAUGCGAGAAAUGGAUGAGGUACUGGAGUUUGUUUCUCCUAGCCAUUCUAGAAUAGAACGGCUCGACGGACCACAAGAAUAAAAGGCACCGAUGAACACAAAUGCACAACUAUUCCUGACUAUCAAUUGAUAGACGAAGGUCAGAAAACAACUAAAGAGGGACAACUCAAGGAACAUAUAAUUUUCUGAGCUGUGGAGGCAUAGAUUAGUAUGUCGAGCAAAGCUCAACAUAUUUCUUCCAGAUAACCCAUGCAGAAAGGUAGAACUGGCAGAGCCACAAUAUAGAAUGGAGAACUCAUCAAGAGCACUCUGGUUGUGAUCCUUUUGGUUCAAAAGAACUCCUGCCAAGAAUGGUUCAUGAUAAUUGGAAGAAGGAUGUACCACGAACCUCGAGGACUAUCACAAAGGUUACUAAUAUCCUAAAGGAACGAGCAAACACUAUCAACAUGAAGUAAGUAGGGUGAAUCUCGGGUUCAAAACCCAGGAAUAAAAUGCCUACUAACUAAUAACAUCACGGGAUGCUUUUGAGAAUAGUGGCCAGAGUCACACACUGGGAAUACGAAACAUGGCUAGAUUACUAGGUGGCACUCUAAGGCAUCUAGGGUCAUAAUAAUAGUUCCAACAUAAAUGCCGAGGCAACGGAGUACCUCAACUCACCGAUUAGUGUGAUUAAUCUGGCCUAAAUGGACAUCAGGAACAGGGGAAAGGGUUUGCAAAUGCAUCAGACUAUUUAGAAACCUGGGAUGACUCGGACAGCAUAACGGCUAUAAAUGCUCAAAAUGAUUUGAGACAUCCUACAAAAUGGUGGCAUAACCACUCAGAAGCACAAUAUCAAGGUUCGAGACCAACUAUGAACACACAGAAGUAGUAGAAACUGAACUGGGCUUAAAUCCAACAAUCUUAGGCAACUACGGUUUAGUAACACGUCAUCCUGAUAGAUAGAUGAGAAGGCCUAAUUCUUAAUCCCCGUAGAAAAGAAGAGGUUGACUCGGAUCAGAUGGGCAUGAGGUAUAAGGAGUAAAAAGAGCCUUAAGUUCCCUUCCACAAUCAAUUCCCUUACAUAACUAAAGCAUUUCUAGACUCAACUUCGACCAGUUUGGCUUGGUAAACCUACAGGCAGUCAGGCUCUGAUACCAACGCUGUCGGGACCCCGAUCCUAGGUCACACCGAUCUAGCAUGUAACACAUCAUAUUACUUUGUGGCCUCAUGCACGGUAUUUCCACGGGUGCCACCUUACCUGGCCCGGGACCGUUUGCGCCUUUUGGCUCACGUAUAUGAUAGUGUCGCUAGCAUCCAUAUGACAAAGAACCCGGGCCGACAUGGCUAGUCGUGAACCCAAAGCGGCACUACCCCAUGGGGACAGGCAUACAUGAAUCAACCUCGAGCAUGUCGGUCAACAGCGUGUGAAUCCGGGCUGUAGCACUUGGCUAACAGGACUCCGGUAACCCGGGCUGUAGCAGGCUAGGCAGGACUCCGGAUGUCACCGCGUGACAUUUCCCCAAAGGGACAGACAUAGGAACGAAGUGAAUCACAUGCCGGCCAGUCAAGUGUCCUGAACAGUAGUGCUGGGUUAGCAGGACUCCGGUGAUCCGGGCUGUAGCGGACUACUAUCGCUCAGAAGCACUAGACUACAUUUCCCCAUAUGAUAGGUUGCCAAGGAUAAACAACUAGAUAGUCGGAUCCCACAGAUACCAAGCAUUUCAAUCAUACACACAAUACGCUCGAUAUGUGUGAAUACAACAUGGCAUCACAACAUAACUCUACAACUCAAGUAUUAAUUCAUUAGGCUCCGAGGAGCGAGAUAUUACAAGCAUGGGUCUCAUGACCCAACAAUCAUAGCAUACAAUUCAAACACAUGCGGAAGCUUAACAUGUCUGAGUACAGACAUCUAUAAAUGGAAAAGGCUAAGAAGCCUGACUAUCUACCAGAUCCUGUCGAGGGCACAAGAUCGUAGCUGAGGUAUCAAGCUAAACGUCGAAGUCCACGCGGAACUACUAGCGAGACUGAAGUCUCUCUGCAAAACAUAAAUUAAGCAAACAUGAGUACAAAGGUACUCAGCAAGUCUUACAUCAGAACUAACUACAUAUGCAUCGGUAUCAACAAGGGGGGGUGGUGGAGUUUAACUGCAGCAAGCCAGCUUUGACUCAGUGGCUAACCUAAACUACGAUUGCGAGCAACUCUUUUGAGGUGGCGCACACGAGUCCACAUAUUCACCAAUCAAUACACCACUAUGGAUCCGCUCUCGUCUCCCUACGAGAAGGCCAUCCAUAGCACUCACACUUAUCUUGCGAGUUUUAGAGUAUCCACUUUCACUUGUCUAUGAACUGUUAUAGGCAACCCAGAAGUCCUUUACCGUGGACACGGCUAUUCGAAUAGAUCAUUUAUAACCCUGCAGGGGUGUACUUCGUCACACAUGUUUCCACCACUUAGCGUCUGCACACGACAUGUGCUCGGCAGACUUCAAGCGAAAGCCGACGUGGGUGUAGACCACGACCUGACUAACCACACAAGUCUCUAGUCCAGGUUUAUCGCCUAUUCGGGUUCCAUCCGCGAGGAGAUCCGGCCGGAGUUUCGCUCACAGCCCCAAACGAUGUGUGAAGGGUUCCCGAGACACCAAACGGGCGCCCGGUACACCGUGCCACAGUGUAUCUACCGCAUCAUAGCCCACCCCUAGGGUCAGCGCUACGCACGGCCGCCAACACAUAUCCUAUAAACACCAGAAACUAAUUGCAACUCCUGGACAGAGGACGAGAGGGGUCAGUAAGUCGAGCGGGGUCAUAUUUCAGGGCCCAACGUGUGGUAGUAGCUGUUUCAUGGAUCACAAACACAGAACUCAGUUCCUGAGGACGGUUUCAAUGAGACAACCCACCAUGUACUCCUACAUGGCCUCUCACCGCUACCUUUACCAAAUCGUGUUCACACACUUAGCUCUCAACACUAGGACAUGUUUACACACCUCCGAUUCAUCCCCGAUGAAUCGGACCUGACUCAACUCUAAGCAGUAGCAGGCAUGACAAACAAGCAUGAAUGAGUAGGCACAUCAGGGCUCAAACAACUCCUACUCAUGCUAGUGGGUUUCAUCUAUUUACUGUGGAAAUGACAGGUCAUGCAGAGGAUAAGGGGUUCAACUACCGCAACAAGUAACAGAUGAAUCGUUGGUGUCCUAAUGCAGUAAAAGAGAGCAGGAGCGAGAGAGGGGGAUUGUAUCGGAAUGAACAAGGGGGUUUUGCUUGCCUGGCACUUCUGAAGAUAUCAUUGGGUCUUCAUCAGUGUCAACGAUCACAUCGUCGGUACAACGUCUAUCGAGAGGGGACAAAUACCGGCAACAGGAGAAAGAAACACAAUCAAUGCAAUGCACAAUAUGAUGCAUGAUCAUGACAUGUCAAUAUGCUGUGGUUUGAGCUAAUGCAACUAGCUAUGAUUUAAAUGAAGUUGGUUUGAGUGCAAGAUUCAAAUUCCAACCCCAUAUGUGAUUAUUUAAAUGCCCUUUAUUUGUUUUGUCCAAAACAGAGGACAAACAUUGUUCAAACAUGCAUGAAAAUGGUACAGAUGGAUUCCUUGAAUUUUUCUGAUAAUCUUACAUAUAUAAUUUAUCUCAUUUGGAGUUACGGUUGAAUUUCUAUGAUUUUUAGAAGUUUUGGGUAUUUUCUGAAAUAAAUAAAUCAUUUCUGAUUUAUUUAAAAUCCCAGAAAAGGAUUACUGCAUCAGCUUGACGUCAGGGUGACGUCAGCUGGUCAACUGGGCGGCCCAGGUCAAACCUGACGUGCGGGACCCAUAUGUCAUUGACUCAGCUAUUUAAUAUGGUAAAUUAACCUUAGAUUAAGCCUAACUAAAAUGUCAGUGGGGUCGGGGCCCACAUGUCAGCGGCUAACCUAACUAAAUUAGUGUUAGCUUAACUCCUAAUCUAGGUUUGACCAGGGGGCGGGGCCCACGUGGUCAAAUGGGUCAACCCCACCGGCGACGUGAGCUGGAGCUCGCCCGCAUCCAUCCCUGCAAGCAGCAGCUGCUAGGGCGGCCGGAGCUCGUCGGAAACGAGCUCGAGGCGGCGCCGGAGUUCGGACACGAGCGGGGACGCGGUUGCGGUGGCCUUGGUGAUGUGUGCAUAGCACCUACGGCGUCUACGGGGUGAGGUGAGUGCGAUGGGCGCAUGCCCGGGACCAAAUGGUCACCGGAGCAUCACCGGUGACGAGCGCGGCGGCGGCAGGUUUCGGUCAACAAGGGGGCGACGGCUACGGCGUGUGAGAGCGAGAACGGAGAGGGGGAGAAGGGGCAGGAGCUCACGGCGAACACGUAGGGAUGGUCAGCGGCCUCGCGGACGCGUCGGAGACGGCGAAUCGACGGCGGUGAGCUUCGGCACCCGAGGAGGAAGACGGCGAUGGUGACGGUGCUUCGAGGCGUCCGGCGGGGCGCGGCUCGGUGGAGAGGACGAGGAGGAUGCGGCGGUGCUUUAGGAGGCGUCGGGGAGGCGAGGCGGUGGCUGUGGCCGCGGCGAACGGCGUCGGUGGCGACGGGCGCGUUCGGACGAACGUGAGCGAGAGAGACAGAGGAGGGAGGCGCUCGAGGGAGAGAGGAGAGGAGUGCAGGGGGGUCCAGGGUGUCGUGGCGCUCGGGGGAGUCUCCAGCCGCGGCGAGCAAGCAGGAGGUGGCCGGACGCGUGCUCGCGCGCGCCGGCCACGCGCUCGUCCUCCUGGCGAGGGGGAAGACGACAGGGAGGAAAGCCAGUGGGCUGGGCUGGCCAUCUGGGCCAGCCGGUGGGCCUUGGUGGGCUGCACAGGUAGGUUAGGUAGGUUUUCUCUCUCUGUUUUUUUUUGUUUCUGUUUUCUAUUUAUUCUGUUUUGUUUUGAUUUAGUAAAGUACUAAACCAUUUUAUAAAAUGCUGAAAAUAUUUAUGGGCACCUCUGAAAUUAAUUCCAACAGCCCAAAAAUACUUCCAAGAUUAUUUGGACAUUUAAAAAUAUUUAUAGCAUUUAAAUGUCCAAAUGCAAAUACUUUAAGAGUUAACUCAAAGAUCCAAAGUGUCCUAGAAAAGUGAGCACCAUUUUUGGCAGAGGUUAUGGACCAAGGCAAAGAUGAUGAACAUUUUAGAAGGCAUUUCAGGAUCAUUGAAAGAUUUUUAUUUUGAUCCUAAUUGCAUUUCAUUUAGUGCUAGGGCUUGUCAUCCCCAUUUCAAAUUUAAUUGAAAAAUAAACAUGAUGCAUGGAUGCUUGUGCAACUAUUUGCAAACAAAUUCUAGGGCUGUGACAU
rnacentral:lncRNA from 1 species